UACGAACCAUCCAAACGUUACUCGGAAUCACUGGGCUAAAAGGGUGCGUAGGCCGCGCGGAGGGUGGGAUGUGAAAUCCCCCGGCGCAACCGGGGAAGAGCGUCCCAAACCGCCGUGCUCGAGGGAGACAGAGGUGAGCGGAACUGAUGGUGGAGCGGUGAAAUGCGUUGAUAUCAUCAGGAACACCAGUGGCGAAAGCGGCUCACUGGGUCUUUCCUAACGCUGAGGCACGAAAGCUAGGGGAGCGAACGGG
rnacentral:rRNA from 1 species